UUUGAUUUCAUUGUCGUGUAAAAGGUCGAGCUGCUUACGACAUUUGACGUUUAUUUCAUAUUUGGGAAGAUGCAAAGAGGUUGCUGGUUCGAGCCUCGGCUGGGUCAGUUGGCGUUUCUGUGUGGAAUUUGCAUGUUCUUCCCGUGUUGGCGUGGGUUUCCUCCGGGUGCUCCAGUUUCCCCCACAGUCCAAAGACAUGUGCUGUAGAUGAAUUGGCAACACGUGUUUUCCUGAGGAAGAAAUAAGAGAAUGUCUCCAUUUCAAGCGGAUGACCUUCCAGCUGCAACCAAUCACUGCGAAAUCUGGACAAUGUUGUGAAGUUUUCCAUUGCUGUUGCUUGUGGUGUAAAAACACUUGUUGGAUUUAUCUAAGAUUCUUCAAUAAACUGCUCUUUAUCAUCAUGA
rnacentral:lncRNA from 1 species